CCUACGGGGUGCUGCAGUGGGGAAUAUUGGACAAUGGGCGAAAGCCUGAUCCAGCCAUGCCGCGUGUGUGUAGAAGGCCUUCGGGUUGUAAAGCACUUUCAGUGGGGAAGAAAGCCUUGGGGCUAAUACCCUCGAGGAAGGACAUCACCCACAGAAGAAGCACCGGCUAACUCCGUGCCAGCAGCCGCGGUAAUACGGAGGGUGCGAGCGUUAAUCGGAAUUACUGGGCGUAAAGCGCGCGUAGGCGGUCUGAUAAGCCGGUUGUGAAAGCCCCGGGCUCAACCUGGGAACGGCAUCCGGAACUGUCAGGCUAGAGUGCAGGAGAGGAAGGUAGAAUUCCCGGUGUAGCGGUGAAAUGCGUAGAGAUCGGGAGGAAUACCAGUGGCGAAGGCGGCCUUCUGGACUGACACUGACGCUGAGGUGCGAAAGCGUGGGUAGCAAACAGGAUUAGAUACCCGAGUAGUC
rnacentral:rRNA from 1 species